UGCCUUAGUAACGGCGAGUGAAGCGGCAAAAGCUCAAAUUUGAAAUCGAACCCCCGUUCGAGUUGUAAUUUGUAGAAGUAACUUUUGUGUUUAGACCUGGCGGAAGUUCCUUGGAACAGGACGCCGUAGAGGGUGAGAGCCCCGUUCUACCAGAGUCGAUGCCUUGUAAAGUGCUUUCAAAGAGUCGAGUUGUUUGGGAAUGCAGCUCUAAGUGGGUGGUAAAUUCCAUCUAAAGCUAAAUAUUGGCGAGAGACCGAUAGCGAACAAGUACAGUGAUGGAAAGAUGAAAAGAACUUUGAAAAGAGAGUGAAAAAGUACGUGAAAUUGCUGAAAGGGAAGGGCUUGAAAUCAGACUUGGCUUGUAGUGAUCAUCCGUCCUUUGGGGCGGUGCACUCGCUGCUUGCUAGGCCAGCAUGGGUUUGGGGGGAGUCAUAAGAGCCUUGGAAUGUGGCUUGGCUCCGAGUGUUAUAGCCCUGGUUGAUAGCUCCACCCCGGAUCGAGGACUGCUGUCUUAUAGGAUGCUGGCGUAAUGAUUUUAAGCCGC
rnacentral:rRNA from 1 species